rnacentral:rRNA from 1 species
GAUGAACGCUGGCGGCGUGCCUAACACAUGCAAGUCGAGCGGAUGGACGGAGCUUGCGCCUGGAUUCAGCGGGGGACGGGUGAGUGAUGCACAGGAGUCUGCCUGGCAUUGGGGGAUGACAUCCGGAAACGAGCGCUAAUACCACAUGCGUGCUGAGGGUGAAACUGGGGGUUCUUCGGACAGCACGGGAUCAGAUGAGCCUAGGUGGGAUUAGCUAGUUGGUGGGGUAAUGGCCUACCAAGGCGACGAUCCGUAGCUGGUCUGAGAGGAUGAUCAGUCACACUGGAACUGAGACGCGGUCCAGACUCCUACGGGAGGCAGCAGUGGGGAAUAUUGGACAAUGGGCGAAAGCCUGACACAGCCAUGCCGCGUGUGUGAAGAAGGUCUUCGGAUUGGAAAGCACUUUAAGGUGGGAGGAACGGCUGUAAGUUAAGACGUAGCUGGUGUGACGGUACCAAGAGAAUAAGCACCGGCUAACUACGUG